ensembl:lncRNA
CUUGCUCUCCCUGGGCUCUAAACUGCUCGGUUAGGGCUCUGUUCAAACAGCAAAUCAAAGGACACGGGGGGGAGCUCCCCAGUCAUUCUGGCUUUGCAGCUGUCUCACCCUCAUUUCCAUGGAAAGCAGAACGCUGCCAGGAAGCAGCUGAUACUAACCCCCUGUUGCUGGGUUGGGCAUGGGAACGCCCCCUGACUGCGGCUGCCUUUAUAGAGCCCGGCUCCUGGUGUGCUGCUGCUUGUGCCACUCCCCGGAGCUAGCAUGUCACCCAUGCCCAAGGCGGCCUUCGUAGGCAUGCUCCUCUUCUGCCUGUGCCCCGGGCACCGAACAGGUAAGCAGCAAAGGGCGUGCAGAGUCCCUGCGGGCAGGAUUGCAGAGGGCAUUCACCCAAGGACUCUUAGCUGUGUCUUUUCCCAUGCAGCCCUGCGGGCCCAGGCAGUCCACGUGCCCACGAGGUGCAUGUGCUUGAAGUUCCAAGAGAAGGUUAAUCCCAGAUUCAUAAUGGAUUUCCAGAUCAUUGAGAAGGGAGCCCACUGCCACCGCCAUGAGAUCAUAUUAACCGUGAAGCAAUGGAGAGGCCCGAGAGAAACGUGCCUUGACUCAUCCAGGAGGCAAGGGAAGAAUCUGCUGCACUGCUGGAAGAGGUCAGUGCUCGGAGAAAUGGGCCCUGGCCCCUGUUGGCAAUUGCCAGCACCUGCUCCCCAGGCUGGCCCUUCGCUGUGUGCAAUGGCAGCACUGGGCCAGAUUGCGAUGCUGGCUGCACAGCUGCCUGGGCUGCAGGGAAGGCAGUGGGGACACUGCAAGUAGGGUGACCAGAUGUCCCGAUUUUAUAGGGACAGUCCCGAUUUUUGGGUCUUUUUCUUCGAUAGGCUCCUAUUACCCCCCACUCGCUGUCCCGAUUUUUCCCACUUGCUGUCUGGUCACCCUAACUGCAAGCUGCUGCCAGUGUACAGAGAUCAGAGCUUGGCCUGUUUGGUUUGUCCCUCUGGGUCCCAGUGGCUGAGAGGCCCUUGGUCCUGCUCUGAAGGAGCCUCCUUCUCUUACAGACACCGGAAGGACCCCAGGAAGCAGCGCCACUGCAUGAAAAGGGGGCAGUGACACAGGACCAGGGCAAAGCAGUGAGCACGAUGCACAGGUAAGGCCACGCUCUGGGAUCCAGGGGCAGGCCUCCCGGGGCUCCCCCUGCAUGGGGCCUAGCUGCGGCCACGCGAGAUGAAGCAGGGAGAACUCCCCGCCCAGCUCGUGGCCCACAGCAGGACUUUGAUCCACAGCCUGUCAGCCCAGGCUGCUCUCGCAGUGAGGUGACAAGUGAGUGCGGCCUGGCCAGGCCAGGGUGAGGCUGGGCCAAGAUGUGGGACUGCACACCUUGGGUUUGCCAUACUCUUCCUCCCCAGUUGAGGCUUAUGAGCAGGGUAUCCAUUAUGCAGAGGUAUGAGCCAGAACCUAGGGUUGCCAAUUUUCUAAUUGCACAAAACUGAACACCCUUGCCCGGCCCCUUUCCCUUCCCUGCCCCUUCUUUGAGGCCCCGCCCUCACUCACUCCAGCACCCGUCCCUCCAUCGCUCACUUUUCCCCACCCUCACUCACUUUCACUGCAGGAGCAGGCUCAGGGCUGGGGCAGGGGGUUGGGGUGUGCGAGAGGAUGCAGACUCCUGCUGGGGGUGUGGGCUCU